rnacentral:rRNA from 1 species
AUGGUGAUGGGGCAGGAAGCUCACUUGAAAUCUCAGGAUGUUGCUGAAAUCCGAGGAGGUUCACGACCAUUGGUCUACAACCACAAAAUUGCAGGCACAAAGAGGUACACAAGGCUGCAGGGGAAGAUGAUGGGCAAGAAGGCCACGAAGUCGACGCUCAUCUUUGUCGAGGAGUGCGGACUCACCGGCCCUCUCACUCAGGAUCAGUUCCUCAAGGAGCGGGAGCAUGCUCCAGGGCCUCUCUUCCUCGUGCGGCCUGGUGAGAACGGUUUGUCUGUAGGCAUCAUCAUAAAACAGAGGAGACAAUAUUGCUUUCCUGGAGUCAGAGCUAGUGUACUUGUCUAA